CCUACGGGAGGCAGCAGUGAGGAAUAUUGGUCAAUGGCCGUAAGGCUGAACCAGCCAAGUCGCGUGAAGGAAGAAGGAUCUAUGGUUUGUAAGCUUCUUUUAUAGGGGAAUAAAGGUAUCCACGUGUGGAUAUUUGCAUUUACCCUAUGGAUAAGCAUCGGCUAACUCCGUUCCAGCAGCCGCGGUAAUACGGAGGAUGCGAGCGUUAUCCGGAUUUAUUGGGUUUAAAGGGUGCGUAGGUGGUUUUUUAAGUCAGAGGUGAAAGUUUGUGGCUCAACCAUAAAAUUGCCGUUGAAACUGGACGACUUGAGUGUGUUUGAGGUAGGCGGAAUGCGAGGUGUAGCGGUGAAAUGCAUAGAGAUCAGGCAGAACACCGAUGGCGAAGGCAGCUUACUAAGCAAUAACUGACACUGAAGCACGAAAGCGUGGGGAUCAAACAGGAUUAGAUACCCGUGUAGUC
rnacentral:rRNA from 1 species